UCUCCGCCUGCGGACACCAGACUCACCGCCUCAGCCACCAUGCAGCUGCUGCCCACCCUCUGCCUCACCUGGGCUCUGCUCCACACAGCCGAGUGUCUGCGCUGCCAUCAGUGGUGGACACGGCGUGCUCCAACACGACGUCCGUCCUCUGUCCCACCACCAGCACCGUGUGCAGGACGCUCACCUCAGUUUUGAGCUGCAGGUUGUGAGGACUGAUGGUUGCUGUUCCC